rnacentral:lncRNA from 1 species
GUAUCUACCAGAAUGACCAUGGAACGACGGACCAAAUUGGUUGUCGGGAUCGUUUUCUGAAAGUUUAUGGAAGGAGGAGAAGAAGAAACAUUGGUACCUUGUCUUUGGCAGGAAAUGAAGCUGAUAUCUACCCAAAUGACCACAAAACAAAAAAAAUCUACCCAAAUGACCAUGAAGCGCCAGAUCAAAGUGGUUCUCAGCAUCAUUUUCCAAAAGUUUAUAGAAUGACCAUGAAGCCACAGAUCACUCUCAGCAUCAUUUUCCAAAGGUUUAUAAAAGAAGGACAAGAGGUAACAUUGGUACUAUAUCUUUUAUAGGAGAUGAAGCUGAUCUCUACCGGAAUGA